rnacentral:rRNA from 1 species
UACGUAGGGAGCAAGCGUUGUCCGGAAUUAUUGGGCGUAAAGAGCUUGUAGGCGGUUUGUCGCGUCUGCUGUGAAAAUCCGGGGCUCAACCCCGGACUUGCGGUGGGUACGGGCAGACUAGAGUGUGGUAGGGGAGACUGGAAUUCCUGGUGUAGCGGUGAAAUGCGCAGAUAUCAGGAGGAACACCAAUGGCGAAGGCAGCUCACUGGGACGGUAUUGACGCUGAGACGCGAAAGCGUGGGGAGCAAACAGG